AGCGGCGGACGGGUGAGUAACGCGUGGGUAACCUGCCUCAUACAGGGGGAUAACAGUUGGAAACGGCUGCUAAUACCGCAUAAGCGCACAGUACCGCAUGGUACGGUGUGAAAAACUCCGGUGGUAUGAGAUGGACCCGCGUCUGAUUAGGUAGUUGGUGAGGUAACGGCCCACUAAGGCGACGAUCGGUAGCCGGACUGAGAGGUUGAACGGCCACAUUGGGACUGAGACACGGCCCAG
rnacentral:rRNA from 1 species